UGCCCCGUGGCUGAGUUGGUUACAGCGUCCGACUGUUAUAUAUUCGAAGGAUACCGCAAUCGGAAGGUCGUGAGUUCGAGCCUCACCGGGGCAG